rnacentral:rRNA from 1 species
CAGUCGCCGCGGGAAUACGUAGGUGGCAAGCGUUGUCCGGAAUUAUUGGGCGUAAAGGGCUCGCAGGCGGUUUCUUAAGUCUGAUGUGAAAGCCCCCGGCUCAACCGGGGAGGGUCAUUGGAAACUGGGAAACUUGAGUGCAGAAGAGGAGAGUGGAAUUCCACGUGUAGCGGUGAAAUGCGUAGAGAUGUGGAGGAACACCAGUGGCGAAGGCGACUCUCUGGUCUGUAACUGACGCUGAGGAGCGAAAGCGUGGGGAGCGAACAGGAUUAAAUACCCGAGUAGUCCCUGUCUCUUAUCC